UUACUUACUUAAAUGGGGUCAAUAAGUGAUUACGAAGGUCCAUAACCUAGACAAGUGACCUCUACUACACUCACAUGGAGUGCAAACUUAUGGUUUAUCUAAGAUGUGGAGCGUGCAUUAUAAUUUGUUGCAGUGGGGUCUGCAUUUACGCGGCUCUUU